ACAUCAAUAGAUAAGCUAUUGAAAGGGCGUGGGAUAUUUUACAAUAAUUUGGUUCUUCUUUUGGUUCACUCAGAUCUGACUGCUUGGCUACUUCUUCCUGGAGGAUUUGUUAUUAAAGGAACAUACAUUCUGGGAAUUCAAGAAAAGGCCUUUGUUGGCAGAUAUUAUGGCAACCAAAGAAGAUAUAAUUCAGACAUUUCUGAAUAAAGAGUGUAUAUGGAUUGUAAAUAAAGCUUCAUGUUGCAGAAAGAAGGUCUUUACAUGCACCACGUCCAUUUCACCAAGCCUGAAACACCACUUUGGUGUGCCAGACGAUGGGGCAUGGUGCCUAAACGUCACUGUGUUGAUUCUGAAGCCUAAACAAUCUCCAUUUUCUGUUACAGUGUUUAUAAAUGGGAAACCCAUACUCUGCUCCAAUUCACAGUUAAUUUCUAUCCAGAAGGUAUCUGGCAGAGAGCAUAUGGCUGUGAUAUAUUUUGGAAAAUUUACAGGGAAGUCAGCCAUUCCAGUACCUAUGGAUCCUACAAUUCUAGAUCCUGGUUCUGACAGCCCACACAUUUUGUGUUCAGAUGUAAUGGAGUCCUCCACGUUGGUUGACCUGCCAGUUGUUGGUUCAAGUAAGCAAGUAGGAUAUACUGCCUGGCUUGCGAAUAACAGUAUCUAUGAAUACAUGUUGAGUACAGAACAUCAGAUGAUGUGUCCGUCCCUACCAGUGUUUCCCUCCCUGUCUAAGAUCCUCAAUAUUAUGACGUCCUGCACAAGUCCAACCUGUAAAAAAUGUGCAGGAUAUCGGAGGCACUGUAAGGUCUGCAGUGGUUAUACUGAUGCUACUGGAGAUGGGUAUUCGCCUUCAUGUCCCUGCACAACAUCAUGCGCUCUCAAACCAGGUGACAUCAUCCCCAUAACUGGACACCAUACUUUGCUGCCAUUGUUGUUUGAUCCUGUCAAUGCCCACAGUGUCACACGGCUCAGAAUCACCCCUACCAGUUCACCUCAGCCCUUGGAUCAAAUUAUUACUGGUAUCACCGAGUCAGGGGAGAGUGUUCCAAUUACCCUGGAGGCGUGGAAACUCGUGAGGCUAUCUGACCUUUACUCCCAUCUCUAUAUUAUAUCAUGUAAGGCACUUAAAUCACACUUACAUUCUUGUUGAAGCAUGUGGCACACAUCAAGGUGCUGGAUUUUUUCCCAGGAUGUGAGUACAGGAUCACCCCAUUUUCCUUUUUAAUGUCAAUAUUCUUUCUUGGGAACCAGGCCAGCAGAAUGUUUGAGAUUUCCAGGAAAACUGCCAAGGACACAUGUUUUUGGUGGGCUACGUAGCCAAUAUGUAAAUCAUCCACUGAUGUCAGAAGCAUGCUUAUGAUUGCUGUCACAAUCCAGGUUUUGCCAUGGCGCCGGGGAAUCAAAAAGGCUGGUGAUUUUUGCAAAAAUGUUAACAAGUCUGUGUUGUCAAAAUAUAACAUGUCUAAUAAAAAUUUGAAUUCAUCAAAA
rnacentral:tmRNA from 1 species